rnacentral:rRNA from 1 species
GGCGAACGGGUGAGUAACACGUAGGUAAUCUGCCCUUCAGCUCGGGAUAACCCCGCGAAAGCGGGGCUAAUACCGGAUGAUAUCCUGAAUGCGCAUGCUUUCAGGAUCAAAGGUGGCCUCUGAUUCAAGCUGUCACUGAAGGAUGAGCCUGCGUCUGAUUAGCUUGUUGGUGGGGUAAAGGCCUACCAAGGCGAUGAUCAGUAGCCGACCUGAGAGGGUGAUCGGCCACACUGGAACUGAGACACGGUCCAGACUCCUACGGGAGGCAGCAGUGGGGAAUAUUGCGCAAUGGGCGAAAGCCUGACGCAGCAACGCCGCGUGGGUGAGGAAGGCCUUCGGGUUGUAAAGCCCUGUCAGGUGGAACGAAUCUCAUCCCGAGCGAAUAACUCGGGAGAAUGACGGUACCACCAGAGGAAGCCCCGGCAAACUACGUGCCAGCAGCCGCGGUAAUACGUAGGGGGCGAGCGUUGUUCGGAAUUACUGGGCGUAAAGCGCGCGUAGGCGGUCAGAUAAGUCAGGCGUGAAAUCCCUCAGCUUAACUGAGGUUUGGCGCUUGAAACUAUCUGACUUGAGUUUAGGAGAGGAGAGUGGAAUUCCCAGUGUAGCGGUGAAAUGCGUAGAUAUUGGGAGGAACACCUGCGGCGAAGGCGGCUCUCUGGACUAAUACUGACGCUGAGGCGCGAAAGCUAGGGGAGCAAACGGGAUUAGAUACCCCGGUAGUCCUAGCCGUAAACGAUGGGCACUAGGUGUGGGAGGUAUCGACCCCUUCCGUGCCGCAGCUAACGCAUUAAGUGCCCCGCCUGGGGAGUAUGGCCGCAAGGCUGAAACUCAAAGGAAUUGACGGGGGCCCGCACAAGCGGUGGAGCAUGUGGUUUAAUUCGACGCAACGCGAAGAACCUUACCAGGGCUUGACAUCCUGCGAAUCCUGGUGAAAGCUAGAGUGCCCGCAAGGGAGCGCAGAGACAGGUGGUGCAUGGCUGUCGUCAGCUCGUGUCGUGAGAUGUUGGGUUAAGUCCCGCAACGAGCGCAACCCUCACCCUUUGUUGCCAUCAGGUUAUGCUGGGCACUCUAAGGGAACUGCCUCGGUUAACGAGGAGGAAGGUGGGGAUGACGUCAAGUCAUCAUGCCCCUUACGCUCUGGGCUACACACGUGCUACAAUGGCCAAUACAAAGGGCUGCAAACCCGCGAGGGCAAGCCAAUCCCAAAAAAUUGGUCUCAGUUCAGAUUGUAGGCUGCAACCCGCCUGCAUGAAGGAGGAAUCGCUAGUAAUCGUGGAUCAGCAUGCCACGGUGAAUACGUUCCCGGGCCUUGUACACACCGCCCGUCACACCACGAAAGUCUGUUGUACUCGAAGUCGUUGAGCCAACCCGCAAGGGAGGCAGGCGCCGAAGGUAUGAUAGGCGAUUGGGGUGAAGUC